rnacentral:rRNA from 1 species
GAGGGUUGAUAGGUUAAGAGCUGAUUGACUGGACGUUACCCACAGAAGAAGCACCGGCUAACUCCGUGCCAGCAGCCGCGGUAAUACGGAGGGUGCGAGCGUUAAUCGGAAUUACUGGGCGUAAAGAGUGCGUAGGUGGUUAAUUAAGUUAUGUGUAAAAUCCCUGGGCUCAACCUGGGCAGGUCAUAUAAUACUGAUUAACUCGAGUAUGGGAGAGGGUAGUGGAAUUUCCGGUGUAGCGGUGAAAUGCGUAGAGAUCGGAAGGAACACCAGUGGCGAAGGCGGCUGCCUGGCCUAAUACUGACACUGAGGCACGAAAGCGUGGGGAGCAAACAGGAUUAGAUACCCUGGUAGUCCACGCUGUAAACGAUGUCAACUAGCUGUUGGUUAUAUGAAUAUAAUGAGUGGCGCAGCAAACGCGAUAAGUUGACCA